rnacentral:rRNA from 1 species
UACGUAGGGUGCAAGCGUUAAUCGGAAUUACUGGGCGUAAAGCGUGCGCAGGCGGUUUUGCAAGUCUGUCGUGAAAUCCCCGGGCUUAACCUGGGAAUGGCGAUGGAGACUGCAAGGCUAGAGUUUGGCAGAGGGGGGUAGAAUUCCACGUGUAGCAGUGAAAUGCGUAGAGAUGUGGAGGAACACCGAUGGCGAAGGCAGCCCCCUGGGCCAAUACUGACGCUCAUGCACGAAAGCGUGGGGAGCAAACAGG